UACGUAGGGGACGAGCGUUGUCCGGAUUCAUUGGGCGUAAAGCGCGCGUAGGCGGCUCGGAAAGUCGGCCGUGAAAUGCCGGGGCUCAACCCCGGGACUGCGUCCGAUACUUCCGGGCUGGAGGUAGGUAGGGGAGAUCGGAAUUCCUGGUGUAGCGGUGAAAUGCGCAGAUAUCAGGAGGAACACCGGUGGCGAAGGCGGAUCUCUGGGCCUUACCUGACGCUGAGGCGCGAAAGCUAGGGGAGCGAACAGG
rnacentral:rRNA from 1 species